rnacentral:rRNA from 1 species
AAUAGAUACCCUGGUAGUCCACGCUGUAAACGGUGGGUACUAGGUGUGGGGUCCAUUCCACGGGUUCCGUGCCGUAGCUAACGCUUUAAGUACCCCGCCUGGGGAGUACGGCCCCAAGGCUAAAACUCAAAGGAAUUGACGGGGCCCCGCACAAGCGGCGGAGCAUGCGGAUUAAUUCGAUGCAACGCGUAGAACCUUACCUGGGUUUGACAUGGAUCGGGAGCGCUCAGAGGUGGGUGUGCCUCUUUUGGGGUCGGUUCACAGGUGGUGCAUGGCUGUCGUCAGCUCGUGUCGUGAGAUGUUAGGUUAAGUCCCGCAACGAGCGCAACCCUUGUUCACUGUUGCCAGCACGUUAUGGUGGGGACUCAGUGGAGACCGCCGGGGUCAACUCGGAGGAAGGUGGGGAUGACGUCAAGUCAUCAUGCCCCUUAUGUCCAGGGCUUCACGCAUGCUACAAUGGCUGGUACAGAGAGUGGCGAGCCUGUGAGGGUGAGCGAAUCUCGGAAAGCCGGUCUCAGUUCGGAUUGGGGU